GGUGGCUCAGUGGUAGAGUGCUUGCCUCACAUGCAUGAGGUCCUGGGUUCGAUUCCUUAGCACCA
rnacentral:tRNA from 1 species